rnacentral:lncRNA from 1 species
GUCAAGUCAGAACAUCUCAGUCAUCCGGCUGAGUGGUUUGAUGGAGACCUACAGGAGCAGGUUCACGGCGGGUCUUGGACAGGACAAGCAUUACUAUUCACCAGCAGCCCCGGGAACUCUCCCUGAGGCCUCCACUCCAGUCACUUCAUAACCUGGCAAGAAUAGUGUCACUUUCUGGGGUUUUCAGCACUGAUGACACUCGUUUCUUCAUGAAAAAGCCUGGGUCACCUGAGGACGCUUCUUGCAUGGAUCCAGCUGGCCUGCACCUUCCUGUCACCAAUUCCCUGUGUUCCCUCCAGGGGGGCUGACCAUCG